GAUGAAUAACGUAGCGAAAUGCGAUAAGUAAUGUGAAUUGCAGAAUUCAGUGAAUCAUCGAAUCUUUGAACGCACCUUGCACCCUUUGGCAUUCCGAAGGGUAUGCUCGUUUGAGUGUCAUUGUACUCUCACACUUCUGAUCCUUUGGAUUGGGAGCGGUGGACUUGGGUGUUGCUGCUUUACUGUGGCUCACCUCAAAUGCAUUCGUGCAACUCUUGGUUGGACAUAGUACGGCGUGAUAAGUAUCUUCGCCGGCACCUCGCAAGAGGGUGGCUGAUCAGGAGCUCUGUGCUUUCCAACUGUCUUCAGACAACAACUGACAACUUGACCUCAAAUCGAGUAGGACCACCCGCUGAACUUAAGCAUAUCAAUAAGCGGAGGA
rnacentral:misc_RNA from 1 species